AGUGAACGCUGGCGGUAGGCCUAACACAUGCAAGUCGAACGGCAGCACAGUAAGAGCUUGCUCUUACGGGUGGCGAGUGGCGGACGGGUGAGGAAUACAUCGGAAUCUACUUUUUCGUGGGGGAUGACGUAGGGAAACUUACGCUAAUACCGCAUACGACCUACGGGUGAAAGCAGGGGAUCUUCGGACCUUGCGCGAUUGAAUGAGCCGAUGUCGGAUUAGCUAGUUGGCGGGGUAAAGGCCCACCAAGGCGACGAUCCGUAGCUGGUCUGAGAGGAUGAUCGGCAACAUUGGAACGGAGACACGGCCCAGACUCCUACGGGAGGCAGCAGUGGGGAAUAUUGAACAAUGGGCGAAAGCCUGACCGAGCAACGCCGCGUGGGUGAAGAAGGCCUUCGGUUUGUAAACCUCUUUUGUGGGGAAAAAAAAGAAGCGGUUAAAACCCCGGUUGUCUUGACGGUACCAAAAAAAAAAGCCCCGGCUAACUUCGUG
rnacentral:rRNA from 1 species